CGGGGAUUUGUCUCGAGAGUUUGUUUCGAGAAAGGUCCAAUGACUCAAGUGCUUUGAGAUUCCCUAACGAUGAUGGGAUGUGACCAUUGAGAAAAUUGUUGGAAAGGUUCAGUCCCUGUAGUCCCUUGAGAUCACCUAUGGCACUUGGGAUCUCUCCUUCGAAAAAAUUGCUGGAGAAGUCGAUGACCUUGAAGACUUCUGAUAUCUUUGGGUAAUACAAUUCAAGCCCUUUGUAAAUCAUUGUCAUGGAGAAAUCGUAAUUGCCAUAAUUGGUGAACACAAGGUACGAUGUCGGCCGUAGGUUUCGUUGCAUGUACGUAAAGUUUCCCGUCUUGGAUUUCAUGGCGUCCCAAGAUUGAAAGAAUUCCAUGGGCAACUUACCGGCCAAUGCAUUAAUAGAGAGGUCAAGUAUCCGCAGCUU